ACCCAGAAUAGCCAGCACAAUAUUGAAGAAGAAAAAAAUUGAGGACUGAUGCUACCCAACUUCAAGAAUUACUUCAAGUAU